CAAAACCUUGACCAGGGUAAUCCAUCAGAUGGAUUUGAUAUUUUGAAAUACAAUAUGGACAACCUGAUCAGAGUUGACAGUUGAACUCUGGGGUGUCCUAUGAUCAUUUUGGUCAAGGGGAUGAAUUAUAUGAAAACUAUAUCCGCAUGGGUUCUAAGGAUGUUGUUCUACACAUUCGACCUAUCCGGUCAUCGGGUACCAUUGCUAGAAGGUCACUUUGAUUGGUACAAAAAUUUAUUUCUAUACUACUAGCUUAGGUUCAGACCUAUGAGGUCACACACAUUAGAGUUCAUGAUCCGAUUGGAUGGUUGAUCAACGAUUAAGAAUCGUUCUAGGGUUAAAUGAU
rnacentral:lncRNA from 1 species